CUUUCUGCAUUUCCACCUUCCAGUUAAUUUCAGCACCAGACCCCUGGUCGUAGAAAUGAGCUCUUUCGAUUUACUCCAUCCUCACCCUCGUGUCCUCAGAUACACUGAGUGGCUACAUCUGCUUCUCCCACAUCUGCGCUCCUCCUCCCAAAGGAAGUCUUAUUCCCUCCCAUGUGGACUAUUGCGGUGCUAUGAACCCUGCUCAACUUCAGCUCCAUGGAGCAGCAAAUGCUUACCCCACUGUCAGUAUGAAACAACUUAAACUCCGUUUUACAAACUGAGGAAAAUGAGGCACUAAGAUAUGAAUUAACCUACUCCAGGAAUUUUUAAGUACACAGUCUGUUUCCAGAUACCACUGUAUUAACGACUAUGCCAUACUGCCUCCCAGAUUUCAAAACUAUCUGAAGUGAAACUCUGUUCAGAGCAAAGAUAGUUUCAGAAGCUUUCUUGAAGCACUCAGAUUGCAGAAGGGGAGAAAGAAAUG
ensembl:lncRNA